CAUAGUGUCUGUGGGCUAUUUUUAACUACAGAUUUAAAGGUCUGUUUUUAAGACUUUUAAAAAAGGUGACACUAUGAUCCCUUUAAGUUUUCUUUCCAGAAUGUCUCCUUCUUCAUUCACAUGUGGAAUAUUUCUGUUCCUGCUCACACGGAGAGUGAACAGCGUGAAGGUUCAGCAGUCUUCUGCUCAGAUUGUACCCGACGGCACAGGGGAGGUGAUGAGCUGCAGUCAUGAUGACAGAAGCCUGGCAGGGAUGCUCUGGUACCAACAAAAAUCCAGCAGUCACUCCAUCAGCCUGAUUGGCUACACAGUGUUCCAGGCCACCCCGAGAUAUGAGGGUCAGUUUGCAGACAGAUUCCAGCUGAGAAGAGACGUCCUGACGAGAGGAUCUCUGGUAAUCCGCAGUGUGAAUCUGUCAGACUCAGCUGUGUAUUUCUGCGCCCCCAGCACACAGUGA